rnacentral:rRNA from 1 species
GAUGAACGCUGGCGGCGUGCCUAAUACAUGCAAGUCGAGCGAACAGAUGAGGAGCUUGCUCCUCUGACGUUAGCGGCGGACGGGUGAGUAAAACGUGGAUAACCUACCUAUAAGACUGGGAUAACUUCGGGAAACCGGAGCUAAUACCGGAUAAUAUAUUGAACCGCAUGGUUCAAUAGUGAAAGACGGUUUUGCUGUCACUUUUAGAUGGAUCCGCGCCGCAUUAGCUAGUUGGUAAGGUAACGGCUUACCAAGGCAACGAUGCGUAGCCGACCUGAGAGGGUGAUCGGCCACACUGGAACUGAGACACGGUCCAGACUCCUAAGGGAGGCAGCAGUAGGGAAUCUUCCGCAAUGGGCGAAAGCCUGACGGAGCAACGCCGCGUGAGUGAUGAAGGUCUUCGGAUCGUAAAACUCUGUUAUUAGGGAAGAACAAAUGUGUAAGUAACUAUGCACGUCUUGACGGUACCUAAUCAGAAAGCCACGGCUAACUACGUG